rnacentral:rRNA from 1 species
AGCAGCCGCCGCGGUAAAACGGAGGGUGCAAGCGUUAAUCGGAAUUACUGGGCGUAAAGCGCACGCAGGCGGUCUGACAAGUCAGAUGUGAAAUCCCCGGGCUUAACCUGGGAACUGCAUUUGAAACUGUCAGGCUGGAGUCUUGUAGAGGGGGGUGGAAUUCCAGGUGUAGCGGUGAAAUGCGUAGAGAUCUGGAGGAAUACCGGUGGCGAAGGCGGCCCCCUGGACAAAGACUGACGCUCAGGUGCGAAAGCGUGGGGAGCAAACAGGAUUAGAUACCCCUGUAGUCCCUGUCUCUUAUAC